rnacentral:lncRNA from 1 species
AUCCUUAACAAUCCCUAUUAUAAUAAAUAUAAUUUUAUCAAAACAUUUUUCUCCAUAGUUUUUCUUGGAUGGUAUUUGAAGUUCCGGAUCUGCACUUUCCCUUCCUUGGACAAGAAGGAAUCAGCCAUCAGAAACAUCAAAUUGAGCUCAUAUGAGCCAGAAACUGCAGGAUGUACAGGUCAUGUUGAGGAUUAGCGGAAAUAAUAGGAAGUAACAAGAAGGGGAACAUACUCAAAAGAUUGGCUAUUAUUAGCAUUAGUAUACAAAUUGUACUUUACUUCAAGCCAGAUCCAUUC